CUUAGUUGAAGCUGUCUAGCGUCUUAACUGUUAAUUAAGAAGUAAGCAUUGUUUUUGCCAACUAAAA
rnacentral:tRNA from 1 species